UCACUCUCUCUCUAGUUUUUGAGAGGGAAGGACUUGGCUGCCUAGGAGCUGAGCAGGGACCUGUGGUAUAGCAGCACUGGAAGAGAGGCAAGAGGGGCUGGGGAGUUCCAGCCUGACACCCCCCCAGGCUGCAGGCCUUGUGCGGGGCCUAAACCAGCUCACCUGAUCCUGAUCAAUAACCCAUUGGGGAACCUUCCAGUGGGACCAACUUUUUAAUUUAUCUCCCAAUUUCCUCUCUGGAGACCAGGCAUCAGAUCUAAUUACUGUGCCUGUUUGCUGCAUUUUCACCUCCUGCAUUUUCUCCCUCUCCUGAGCAUUGGGAGGAUAUUAUACUUCCUGACGGGGAAGCAAAGUUUUAACAAUGCAAAGGAAAGGCUUAAUACAGGCCCUGUAGAUGCAAGGUGCAAAAUAACACUCUGUCCUUCCAGAGCAAGGGGAGAGAGUGUGUGCGUGCAUGAGAGAACUAUUCAUUGGAGAGGCAACAGCAUGCUCAGACCAACAAAUGUGACAGGGACACAAGGACGGACUAGACAGGUGGCUGGAAGGAUGAGCUGACAAAUUGGAUGCAGAGUCUAAUGCAUGGGACAACUGGACAAAGAGGAAAGAAAGCAAGAAUGAAUCGCAUUAAGUGUGAUUCCAUAAACUCUGAGAGAUCAUGAGUCCUCCCUCUGUUUAAUAGCCAUAGGCUUGGAUUUCCAAAAGAGCCUCAGCCACUGAAAUUCAAGGGGAAUUGGGAACCUAGGCUUCUUUGAAUAUCCUUUGCUCCCCAGUUUCUGAAAUCCAGUGUUUGUGACAUUCUCCCCUGUAAAUACCAGCCCAAGGACUAACCCACUGAAAUGAAAUCAACAAACUGAACAGCUGACCAGGUUCUGCUGACUUUUAAUGAUAUAAUAGUGCCCAGAUAUGGCAGUGAUUGGUACUUUAGAAAUGCAGAUAUUGGUUACAGUACCUGUUAAAUGGCUAAAUCAGGGUGUGCCAAUUGACAGCAGAGCUAAACAAUUACACCUUUUUCUGUGUGGUUAAAGUGAAUUCCUUAUCAGACGGCUGAAGCUGCCCAGACAUCAGAUUUACUGGAAUGCUGCACCUUGCCCUCACCUUUGUUGUCUGGGGAGGUCUCAGCCAGUGGACUUAUAAAGGAUGUUUUGUAAAGUAUUGCUAACAGGAAAGGCAGCAAAGCAGAGGUGUCCACAGCUCUGACUGAGUCAGCUGCCACGGAGCUGAGCCACCAACAUACCAGGGAGCAGCUACCACUAUCUGCAAAGUCAAUACCCUGUCGGAUGGAUUAAAGGAAGGAAAAUCAGAGACAUCCACAGAAUCUUCUUCGACUCAGUGCAAGGUGCUACUCGGCUGAAAACACAAUAGCCAGAUGCGCUCUUCAAACCACUGGAGGCUGAGAGGGCUGAGACCAGUCUACACUAGAAACUUUUGCUGGUCUAGCAAUGUCAGUUAGGGGGUGGGGUGAUUUAUAACUAUAUCAGUAAACCCUUUCUUGUGUAGACUAAGCCUGAGCUGGUGCAGUCUCGGUGAAGGUUCAAAGAAGGACAUGCUGCUCAUGUCUUGCAGCUGACGGAAGUGUAGUGGUACAGCUUUGGAAAGGGGUCUUUGCCCUCUUGGUUGGAGGUAGAGUGCAGGGGAAGGCAGCUGAAGAAGACCAGACAGGGCAAUAUGCAGAGCAGCUGACACAGCCAAUGACCCACCCACCUCCAAUCCCACUCCAUACAUCACACCCUUCAUACAAAUGCAUCUCCAAAGGCUUAUUAAGGGCCUUAAUUGGCACACAGCAGCUGCAGAGGAGACAAAGAGCAGGGGGGAAGGAAGAGAGAUUGAUCUUCAGCUUAGAUUUGAAAUGAGCCAGAGUUGAUGAGAUAGAGAUACCAUCUGGGAAGGCUAGAUGGCAGCAGGGGAAAAGGAGGAGGCUCUCGCACCAAGAGUGACAAGACUGGUGUGACGAGACAGAGGGGGUCAGUGUUAGACAAGCAGAGGGAGCAGAAAGAGGAGAGGGAGAAUAGAAAAGGCCAUGAAAACGAAGGACCUUCUCUGAAGCCCACUGAGUCUUUCUACUGACUUCAGUGGGCUUUGCAGGGCAAUUCUGAACUGUAUCCGGAAAUCAAGAGGGAGUCAAGUUGCUGGCUGCAGAGUGGGGUGACGUUCAUGUUUUUAUCUGAGGGAGAAUGUGGGUCACAGGCAUUCUGGACAUGUUGGAGUCAGGAGGGCUGGCUUGGUCUCAGUGCUAAUUAUUGGCAUAAGGAAUCUUGAAUAGGUUAUAGAACGCUACAGGACAAAGCAAUAAAGAAUCCUGGCCCAUC